GAAACGCCAGGCAAGGCUAGUGGUGGUUCUUCUGGGGUGAGGGAACCUGGGUAAUUGCCAUAGAGAUGCCCUCCUCUAACCAAGCCAACUGUUACUUUUUGCUGGAUUCCUUGAAGUCUCCCCCUCAUGUACACAGUUCAGGAGUCAACCAAGGAUUUGGCCAGAACGUGACUGCAGUGGACUUUUACUUCAUGGGGAAUCUGUCAUCACCUUGCACUUGAAGAAACACAGAGAUCCUCUACAUCCUCUUGCCAGUGUUUAUAUCUGCUCCACAUUUCCAUAUUUACAUGUAUAUGUUGUGAUCUGAGUUUUCUGUCAUUUCUUAUACUAACACUGAAUCUUGCUUUAAGCAAUAUCCUUAAUAAGUGCAAAUAAAAUGCUUGUGAAACAAAUGCAGCUUUAAUGCAGUAAUAAUGAAGGCUACAGUUUACUGAGAGCCAGACUUUUUUCCAUGUGCUUUAUGUGUAUUAGUGUAUACACAACAACCCAUUUAGGCAGAAGUUCUUAUUAUCCCCUCUUUACGAAGGGAAAAACUAAGACAUAUAAAGGUUAAGUCAUUUGUCCCCGAUCACUCAGAUAUAAGUGGCAGAGUUAAGUAAGGCUGGAGUGCAGACAGUCUGGCUCCAUCCUCUUAACCACCCUAUUAUGCAGCCUCUUUUCACUUAGGAAACUAGUGAAAGGUUCUUUCUAAAUCACAACUCUGAUCCUUGUCACUAACUUCUGAUGAAACCAUCCUUACAUGGUUAACAAGAAUUACAUGCUGGGUUCUGGACAGAAAUAUAUUAAUAGUUAUAAUUAAGCAUUAAUCAGGCUACACUUUGUCCCACUUCCUUGUAGCUGCUUAAUAACCAAAAGUCACUGACCAUUUGCAUCUCCAUUGUCCCUACAGAUAGGAUCUCUGACGUUAGAAUCAUAGGGUGUUUUUUUAAGAAUUGCUUAAGAUGUUUUUCAGAUCCUGAAUUCCAGCAGAACAGGCUGAUGCCAACAAGUUUGAAGAGCCCCCGCAGAGGAACUGAAUCAGCAUGAGAAUGCAGUUUCUUCAACUCUCCAUCCCAUGACUUCACUUUUUUUGACCAAUCAACUAUCCCCACACCUCAGCCCAUUACUCAUCCAAACCCCUUAAAAUCUCUAGCCCCAAACUCCUUGGGGAGGCACAUUUGAGGUUUCCUCUCAUCUCCUUGUUUGGCUGCCUUGCAAUUAAAC